rnacentral:misc_RNA from 1 species
GAAAUGCGAUAAGUAAUGUGAAUUGCAGAAUUCCGUGAAUCAUCGAAUCUUUGAACGCACAUUGCGCCCUCUGGUAUUCCGGGGGGGCAUGCCUGUCCGAGCGUCAUUGCGAACCCCUCAAGCACGGCUUGUGUGAUGGGCCCUCCCGCGUCUUGGUCGUCAAGACGGGCCCGAAAUGCAGUGGCGGCUUCGCGGUUAUCCGAUCAGCCAGAGCGUAUGGGGACUCUCUCUCUUGUCACACGCCCGCGGCGCGGACCGACGCCUGUCGACCUUUAUUCAUCUUCUCUCGGUUGACCUCGGAUCAGGUAGGUAUACCCGCUGAACUUAAGC